rnacentral:tRNA from 1 species
GUCCCCUUCGUCUAGAGGCCGAGGACACCGCCCUUUUCACACGGCGGUAACAGGGUUUCGAAUCCCCUAGGGGACGCCA